AUUCCAGCUCCAAUAGUGUAUAUUAAAGUUGUUGCAGUUAAAAAGCUCGUAGUUGGAUUUCUGGCGGGAGCGAUCGGUCCUUCACUCAGUGUUGGAACCUGAUUGUCUCCUGCCAUCCAUGGAGAAAACUUAUCUGGCAUUAAGUUGUCGGGUAGGCAAUCUCCAUCUUUUACUGUGAAAAAAUUAGAGUGUUCAAAGCAGGCUUAUGCCGUUGAAUAUAUUAGCAUGGAAUAAUAAGAUAGGACUAUGGUACUAUUUUGUUGGUUUGUGCACCAUGGUAAUGAUUAAUAGGGACAGUUGGGGGUAUUCGUAUUCCAUUGUCAGAGGUGAGAUUCUUGGAUUUAUGGAAGACGAACUACUGCGAAAGCAUUUACCAAGGAUGUUUUCAUUG
rnacentral:rRNA from 1 species